ensembl:lncRNA
AUACUGCAACCGUUUUUUAAAACCUCAUCAAAAUAUUCAAAUCACAUUCAGCUUGACAACAUUCACAUUUAGGCAAACAUUAAUCUUUGUGUGACAAUGGCAGGGAAAUUGUCUGUUUGAAGAUAAAAUGGUUUCUUCAUGAGAUUGCGUGGCACACAAUGACUAAUGUACUUCAGUAGUUAAUUGUGUCUUUGUAAUUGUCUCUGGAGACAUCAGUAUAUUAGCUAAGCUGGAAGCUCUGUGUAAACCAUGAGAGAGCCUUAAUCACGCUGUAGGAGGGGACCGCGGACUGUUUCUCUGCCCAAAAACUUUGUGCAGUCUUUUCGACAGCCACCAGUGAGGUUGUUAUAUUAAUGAAAGCCUCCUCCACACUAGGUAUUUAUCUUCCUGACAGCUGCAUCCCAGUUGAGCACUUAUCAAAGGUUUCGCAUCGUUUUUAUAGUUUUAUUUGGGUUACCUCUGAGCCCAAGCGAAUUUCUCCCAUCUGGACAUCUGAUGGUGGUCAGACAAUUGGUGAUCAUCGUGCUUUGUUUCUAUUUGUGACAGUUUCACUCUGUCUUCAUCACUCUCUCCAAGCAAGUUUUGCUGAAAGACAUGAAGAUGAGUUGACAAGGCUUCAGAGGGAGUAAAUGUUCCUUCAUAUGGAGCAUCCCAUGAGGGGGUACAGCCUGAGACUCCCCGUUGGUCAGUGGGUGAAAGGGCUUAUGUGUUAGCAGAUCAAAGCUCUGGCGGUGUUACCCCCUCCUGUGACAUCCUACUCCUCCACACCUUCUGAUUCAUACACCUUCACAAAGAAAACACGGACCUAUGAUCGCAGUCUGUUCUAGCCAGGCUUUGAUUCACCAGGCAAGGUGGCUUUGAACUCCGACGUCAUGGAGAGAAAACCAUUCAGCUUUGCAUGGAAGGAACUAAAAUCCAAUAACUGCCUGUCUUCUCGUUCUCCCUGUGGUAUCAAAGCAAAGGUAUCAUAAAUGCUUAAAUUAAGUUCUAGAUUUAGCUAGUACAUAUGUACACGAGUUUGCUUUAGCUUGCAGGUGAAUUAUCUUUUGGUAUAUAAGAGCAAAUGGCCACAUGUGGCGGCUUUUUUGGAUCACCGUGGGGGGUUGAGUUCAUGCUUUCCAUUGUCGUGCUGUUUGGCAAAGCGUGUGCUUUGUUUACCUGGAUAAUUGAUUUUAAGUCGAGUUAUGUACAGAGCGCUGUGAGAACAGGACUGCGGUCAUGUUACAGUCAUCUCUGGUGUUUAUACUGCGCAGAUGCUUGGCCCUUGUGAAUAUGAUCACCCCUCCUAGACCAUCAGACCACUUUUAUUUUCUAUCUUUACAAAUGAUCUGCCUU